rnacentral:tRNA from 1 species
GCCGGGAUAGCUCAGUUGGUAGAGCAGAGGACUGAAAAUCCU